rnacentral:rRNA from 1 species
CCGAGCGGAUGAGUUGCGAACGGGUGAGUAACGCGUAGGUAACCUGCCUCUUAGCGGGGGAUAACUAUUGGAAACGAUAGCUAAUACCGCAUAAAAGUCGACAUUGCAUGAUGUUGACUUGAAAGGUGCAAUUGCAUCACUAAGAGAUGGACCUGCGUUGUAUUAGCUAGUUGGUGAGGUAACGGCUCACCAAGGCAACGAUACAUAGCCGACCUGAGAGGGUGAUCGGCCACACUGGGACUGAGACACGGCCCAGACUCCUACGGGAGGCAGCAGUAGGGAAUCUUCGGCAAUGGGGGCAACCCUGACCGAGCAACGCCGCGUGAGUGAAGAAGGUUUUCGGAUCGUUAAGCUCUGUUGUAAGAGAAGAACGAGUGUGAGAGUGGAAAGUUCACACUGUGACGGUAACUUACCAGAAAGGGACGGCUAACUACGUGCCAGCAGCCGCGGUAAUACGUAGGUCCCGAGCGUUAUCCGGAUUUAUUGGCGUAAAGCGAGCGCAGGCGGUUAGAUAAGUCUGAAGUUAAAGGCUGUGGCUUAACCAUAGUACGCUUUGGAAACUGUUUAACUUGAGUGCAGAAGGGGAGAGUGGAAUUCCAUGUGUAGCGGUGAAAUGCGUAGAUAUAUGGAGGAACACCGGUGGCGAA